UGCAAGCUACAAUAUACUUUAUUAACAUGUUUAUUUACAAAAUGUAAUAAACACACCCUUGGCCGAAAGCCACCAUCUUUUUUGUUAUCUGCUCCAAAGAUUCCGAUCUCAUCAAAGUUUUUGCUCACCCACCCACCACCCACUCCCGAGUAACCAACAUUGACAGUGAUGAUCGCUCAGUCGCCGUCGACGGCCAUCCUGAUCACUCCAUAACUCGUUCUGCCGACAUAUUCAAACAUGUUUUUUAUCUAUUUUCACCGGUGACUAUGAGGAGCCUUUUAGGUCUCGAGUCGGGUGGAGAGUUUCAUAAAGACCCGAAUUUGUCGGCCGAGGAGUGGCGGCAACAGCGUCAAGCAGAAGAGGAUGGGAAGUGAAAGAGGAGGAUGCGAUAUAUUGUGCCCUUUGCAUGCAAAUCGACAUGCCAGGAUUGAAGAAGGCGAUGUCAGAACGAUGGUCGACGGUAAAAAGGAAAAAGAUCAGAGGAGGAGGAAUUGGCGGUGGAGGAGCAUAUCGCGGAGACAGAGGCUAAAAGGAUGCAACUUUGAUGUGGGU
rnacentral:lncRNA from 1 species